GCCGUUGGGAGAUGAGGAACUUGCUUCCUACAUCCUGACUGGCCUUGACAUGGAAUACAAUCCAGUGGUGUCCGCCAUUCUUACACGUGUGGAACCAAUCUCCUUCAACGAGCUCUACAACCAGCUCAUCAGUUUCGACA